GAUGAACGCUAGCGAUAGGCUUAACACAUGCAAGUCGAGGGGCAGCACAAGGUAGCUUGCUAUCUGGGUGGCGACCGGCGCACGGGUGCGUAACGCGUAUGCAACUUGCCCUAUACAGGAGGAUAACCCGUCGAAAGACGGACUAAUACUGCGUAUGCUCACAACUUGGCAUCAAGUGGUGAGGAAAGAAAUUCGGUAUAGGAUAGGCAUGCGUCCCAUUAGCUUGUUGGUGAGGUAACGGCUCACCAAGGCAACGAUGGGUAGGGGAACUGAGAGGUUUAUCCCCCACACUGGUACUGAGACACGGACCAGACUCCUACGGGAGGCAGCAGUGAGGAAUAGUGGUCAAUGGGCGCGAGCCUGAACCAGCCAAGUCGCGUGAAGGAUGACUGUCUUAUGGAUUGUAAACUUCUUUUAUACGGGAAUAACAAGAGUCACGUGUGACUCCCUGCAUGUACCGGAUGAAUAAGCAUCGGCUAACUCCGUG
rnacentral:rRNA from 1 species